rnacentral:misc_RNA from 1 species
GGAAAUUUGAGAGAAACAGAAGGGAAGUGUACAAAUAAAAAAGAAAACAAGUUCUCUGCCUCAUUGCUCUUAGAUAAAAAGGACAAUGUGCCCAUGAGAGUAACGACUGUUCCCCCCCUUUAUCGUUACCAAUACCUUUUCUUUUAUGCUGUUAUUUAACGUGGGUAAUGGUAACGCCGCCCUCAAAAACCUGUAUUUAAAGGCCGCCUUGUUACCUAAUAGCUGUUAUUUAAAACCAUGGUCUCUGUUCAUGCCUCGUGUAAUAUAUAUGGCUAGAAAUGUUAUUUUCCUGGAUAUAGGCUCGUAAGUUGAAAGAUUGCAUGCUUAGAUAAGUCUUUGCUCAUUAGAGGGCUAGAGUCCAUGAUUGAUGGAUCAGAGCCUACAUUGAUUAAGAUGGUUGGUUUUCUCAUAUUUUCUUUAGCUUGGUGAAAAAAUCAGUGCAAGAUUACUCUAUAUCGAAGCAAUUCUUUGAUAGUCCCAUUAGGGGUUCUGCAAUAUGACCUAUCUAAACAGCCCAUGCAUCCAGCCAUAUGCUUCCGCUGGGCAAUUAAGAUCUCUAUGAUCCUCUAUUACAGUUCAACUAGAAUAAACUCACAGAUUGUCGAAAUUGACUUGCAUACUUGUUUUUCGUGUAAAUGUAGGAUUGGCAGAAUUAGUGUCAUUGAAUGUUUCAAAUUCUCUCAUAACCAAUGAGGGAUUGCGGUAUCUGAAGCCUUUAAAGAAUUUACGCUCAUUAUCUUUAGAGUCUUGCAAGGUGACUGCAUCAGAAAUCAAGAAGCUUCAGUUAACAGCACUUCCCAAUUUGGUAAGCUUUCGGCCUGAACAUUGAGAAAGCAAUAGUAAGACAUCCUGUAAAUAUCCUGCCAUCAACCUUGUGUAGCUUCAUGUACAGUGUAAUAAAUUUUUAUUGAAAGAAACAUAUAGGUUGGGCACAAGAAUGUGAUUGGUGUGUAUGAUUCCAGUGGUAUAUGUAAAUAUGGCUUGCUGCUGAUUGAACUUUACGUAGUGGCUGGUGCUCAGUGCAAACUACUGUCUAUACGCUGUAACUGAACUGCAGUUUGCAGUGUCAAACUCGGGUGGUGGAAUUUAAUUAAACAUGCCAGAAAUAUGCUAGUAAAUAAUAUUCUCAGAAUCAUCCUUGUAUUGUUUGUAUAGUUCAUAUGUUUCAGGCGAAAACAUUCUGGUUCAGUUAAUGAUGGUAUUCCGAUCUUUAUUUAUAUGCACAA